CGCUCUUCUGAUCUGCCAGGAAUGCAUGAAAUAUGGGUUAUUCAAGGUUUUUCAUUGCUUAUAUUUUCUUAUAAACUAAAAAAGGACCAUUGAGUGGCACUAGAAAAUCAAUUCAAUUUCUG